GACGAACGCUGGCGGCGUGCUUAACACAUGCAAGUCGAACGGAAAGGCCCUGCUUUUGUGGGGUGCUCGAGUGGCGAACGGGUGAGUAACACGUGAGUAACCUGCCCUUGACUUUGGGAUAACUUCAGGAAACUGGGGCUAAUACCGGAUAGGAGCUCCUGCUGGAUGGUGGGGGUUGGAAAGUUUCGGCGGUUGGGGAUGGACGCGCGGCUUAUCAGCUUGUUGGUGGGGUAGUGGCUUACCAAGGCUUUGACGGGUAGCCGGCCUGAGAGGGUGACCGGCCACAUUGGGACUGAGAUACGGCCCAGAGUCCUACGGGAGGCAGCAGUGGGGAAUAUUGCACAAUGGGCGGAAGCCUGAUGCAGCAACGCCGCGUGCGGGAUGACGGCCUUCGGGUUGUAAACCGCUUUCGCCUGUGACGAAGCGUGAGUGACGGUAAUGGGUAAAGAAGCACCGGCUAACUACGUG
rnacentral:rRNA from 1 species